UAUAAAGUAAGCUAAAAAAAGCUAGUGGGCUCAUACCCCAAAAAUGAAUUUAUUCCUUUAUAA
rnacentral:tRNA from 1 species